rnacentral:rRNA from 1 species
GACGAACGCUGGCGGCGUGCUUAACACAUGCAAGUCGAACGGAAAGGCCCUGCUUUUGGGGGGUGCUCGAGUGGAAAACGGGAGAGAAACACGUGAGUAACCCCCCCUUCACUUGGGGAUAACUUCAGAAAACUGGGGCUAAUCCCGGAUAGGAGCUCCUGCUGCAGGUGGGGGGUUGGAAAGUUUCGGCGGUUGGGGAUGGACUGGCGGCUUACCAGCUUGUUGGUGGGUUAGUGGCUUACCAAGCCUUUGACGGGUAGCCGGCCUGAGAGGGUGACCGGCCAAAUUGGGACGGAGAUACGGCCCAGACUCCUCCGGGAGGAAGCAGUGGGGAAUAUUGCACAAUGGGCGGAGGCCUGAUGCAGGAACGCCGCGUGCGGGAUGACGGCCUUCGGGUUGUAAACCGCUUUCGCCUGGGACGAAGCGUGAGUGACGGUAAUGGGUAAAGAAGCACCGGCUAACUACGUG